rnacentral:rRNA from 1 species
UAUCUUCGGAUAAUAGUAAAGUGGCGAACGGGUGAGUAACGCGUAAAUAACUUGCCUUGGAGAUUGGGACAACAUUGGGAAACCAGUGCUAAUACCAAAUAAUGCAGCGGGCCCUUCGGGGCAUAGUUGUUAAAGUAGGCUUCGGCUUACACUUCAAGAUAGAUUUGCGUCCGAUUAGUUAGUUGGUAGGGUAAUAGCCUACCAAGACCGAGAUCGGUAGCUGGUCUGAGAGGAUGAUCAGCCACACUGGAAUUGAGAUACGGUCCAGACUCCUACGGGAGGCAGCAGUGAGGAAUUUUGCACAAUGGGCGAAAGCCUGAUGCAGCAACACCGCGUGAUUGAUGAAGUUUUUAGGAAUGUAAAAAUCUGUCGUAAGGGAAGAAAUGUUUCGGAUGUUAAUACCAUCUGUUACUGACGGUACCUUACAAGAAAGGACCGGCUAACUUCGUGCCAGCAGCCGCGGUAAUACGAGGGGUCCUAGCGUUGUCCGGAUUUACUGGGCGUAAAGGGUACGUAGGCGUUUUAAUAAGUUGUAUGUUAAAUAUCUUAGCUUAACUAAGAAGGUGCAUACAAAACUGUUAAGAUAGAGUUUGAGAGAGGAACGCAGAAUUCAUGGUGGAGCGGUGACAUGCGUAGAUAUCAUGAGGAAAGUCAAAUGCGAAGGCAGCCUUCUGGCUCAAAACUGACGCUGAGGUACGAAAGCGUGGGGAGCGAACAGGAUUAGAUACCCUGGUAGUCCACGCCGUAAACGAUGAGUAUUUGGUGCUGGGGGAUUCGACCCUUUCAGUGCCGUAGCUAACGCGAUAAA